CUACGGGGGGCUCCAGUGAGGAAUAUUGCACAAUGGGGGGAACCCUGAUGCAGCAACGCCGCGUGGAGGAUGACGCAUUUCGGUGUGUAAACUCCUUCUAUAUGUCAAGAAAAUGACGGUAGCAUAUGAAUAAGCACCGGCUAACUCCGUGCCAGCAGCCGCGGUAAUACGGAGGGUGCAAGCGUUACUCGGAAUCACUGGGCGUAAAGGACGCGUAGGCGGGUUGGAAAGUCAGGUGUGAAAUCCUACAGCUUUACUGUAGAACUGCACUUGAAACUUCUAAUCUAGAGUAUGGGAGGGGGAGAUGGAAUUAGUGGUGUAGGGGUAAAAUCCGUAGAUAUCACUAGGAAUACCUAAAGCGAAGGCGAUCUCCUGGAACAUUACUGACGCUAAGGCGUGAAAGCGUGGGGAGCAAACAGGAUUAGAUACCCUAGUAGUC
rnacentral:rRNA from 1 species